CUGGGGAGUACGGCCGCAAGGUUAAAACUCAAAUGAAUUGACGGGGGCCCGCACAAGCGGUGGAGCAUGUGGUUUAAUUCGAUGCAACGCGAAGAACCUUACCUGGUCUUGACAUCCACAGAACUUUCCAGAGAUGGAUUGGUGCCUUCGGGAACUGUGAGACAGGUGCUGCAUGGCUGUCGUCAGCUCGUGUUGUGAAAUGUUGGGUUAAGUCCCGCAACGAGCGCAACCCUUAUCCUUUGUUGCCAGCGGUUAGGCCGGGAACUCAAAGGAGACUGCCAGUGAUAAACUGGAGGAAGGUGGGGAUGACGUCAAGUCAUCAUGGCCCUUACGACCAGGGCUACACACGUGCUACAAUGGCAUAUACAAAGAGAAGCGACCUCGCGAGAGCAAGCGGACCUCAUAAAGUAUGUCGUAGUCCGGAUUGGAGUCUGCAACUCGACUCCAUGAAGUCGGAAUCGCUAGUAAUCGUAGAUCAGAAUGCUACGGUGAAUACGUUCCCGGGCCUUGUACACACCGCCCGUCA
rnacentral:rRNA from 1 species